UACGUAGGGUGCGAGCGUUAAUCGGAAUUACUGGGCGUAAAGCGUGCGCAGGCGGUCUGUUAAGACCGAUGUGAAAUCCCCGGGCUUAACCUGGGAACUGCAUUGGUGACUGGCAGGCUUUGAGUGUGGCAGAGGGAGGUAGAAUUCCACGUGUAGCAAUGAAAUGCGUAGAGAUGUGGAGGAAUACCGAUGGCGAAGGCAGCCUCCUGGGCCAACACUGACGCUCAUGCACGAAAGCGUGGGGAGCAAACAGG
rnacentral:rRNA from 1 species